rnacentral:lncRNA from 1 species
AUAUUGGGGUGUGAAAAUGGAGAAAAGCUUAUUGCUCUUCAUCCUCAUUGUUACAUCAGGUAAGAUGUCUCUCUCUAGAUAUAAUCUUAAUACAUGUACACAAUCGAUCCUUAUAUUUGUGAUUGUGUACGUGGACAACAUACAGGUUGUGUUGUUGAAAGUUAUAUAAAUGAGACGGCUCUAUUGUUGUAUGCGUAUGAUGAGAUGCCCACGUCGAUGUGUUGUGAGUCAAUACGAGAUAUACCUGUGGGAUUGCGGAAGGAAUGGCGGAAGGAGUUGAGAUCGAGACUUGUGGAGUUGCGGAAGAAAUUGAG